rnacentral:lncRNA from 1 species
ACCACAAUGUGUGAAAAAGCCUGCUAUCGCGGGAUGUGCAAGCACCUGUUUUUGUGGUGCCCAUUUCACUAUUCGUCCUCUUUCUCCUACCAUUUCCUCAUAACCAUCAGGCAGUGCCUCAGCACAUUGAAAGCCAGAGACAGAGCCAGGUCGAAUAACCCACAAGAAAGGCUGCUCACUGUUAGCUAAUCCCCAAGCAGUCUCGAUUAGCUCUUUUUCAUCAAUCCUCACUAGGCUUCCCAAGCUGACAUAGAGAACAGAGUUAGGGGUUUGUCUAUCAAGCCACUCAAUGCAGCUGUUGUCUUCUUCUAGUAUGCUAGUCAAUGAGGCCAAAGGCACCAUUUUGGGAAAAGGGCCUAUUGGAAAAAAAGGCACCUUGUAAUGUUUUUGAAGGCGUAACAACAUUGAAUUCUCCAAGUCCUGCAUUGUGUUCCAAAUAGUCGCAACAGAUGAUCCUAUAUCGUUUAUUCUUUUAUAGAAAUCUAAUACCGGUUCUGGAACUGUAUUAUUGAUGACAUGAAUUGGUACAUCCUUAAACCUCAAGGGAUGAAGCUCCGGUAAUGGAUCCAGCAACUGAGAAUCUGAAAUUGUAGUGAGUAAUCAAAUGCAAAUUUAGCGAAAUAUAGAGCAUAAUGGAAUAAAAAUGUUUAAGUGUCCCUGUUGUUUCUAGUACUCACUCCAUUCCAUUUUACUUGACCUUUUCUUUUCACGCCCCUUAAGAAAACAUUAACUAAAAACUAGUAGUUAAUCAUAUUUUGAUUUUCUAAAAUGACAACUAUUUUGGACCAUGGUAAAGAAGAACUGGAAGGAGUACUUUUCAUUUCUAUUUUUAUUCUCUAUGAUGUUUGCUUGAGAUGAAUGCAAGUAGGGAACAUGAUCAACAGGGAAUCAUAUAACCGAUCCCAACUUGUAUGGGACUGAAGCAUAGUUAUUGUUAUUCAUAAUAUUUUUUCAUUUAAUUCUUGAAGCAGAGGAUGUGUUUGUUCUCAUACCUUCAAAAGGAAAAUAUUUUUCUGGUUGCUGAAAAAUGGUGACCAUAGAGUGCAUACAUGCAGCACUGAAAGUGCGGAGGACAAUGCUGGGAAGCUUCAGCUGGGUGGCUACAUCAUCGACAAAGAACAUGACGUUGUCAUAAAUGAUACAAGCGAGCUGAUCACCUUCCUCUUCCAUCAUCCUAACGAGGUAAUUUCUCAAGGGCGCCUUACAGCUCUCGUUCAUACAAUGUAUACUCUCUACACUCGGGAAUGACAUGUCAAAUCCCUUUAAUCCGUCAUCCAUAGAAUGGAAGACGAAUUGAGGAUGAUUGGAAUAAUUAGGAGCAUUGUGUUGAGUAUGUGCAACUAUAACAGAAAAGCCUUGUGAACGAAGGAUACUUCCAAGCUGCAGCAUUGGUGUUAAAUGCCCCUGGAGAAGGUAUGGCACUAGUACUACACUCUGUUUUCUUUCUACUUUCAUCUUUGUUUUCUUGGAAUUUCUCUCCUAUUCAAGAGUUUAGUAGUGUUCUUGAAGGAGGUUUAUAUAUACCUCUCAAACAUAAAAAAAAGUAUUUUAGGUUAACGUGAACCUAAUAACUUUUUCUUUCAUUAUGUAUUUGUACUAAGAAAUUUACUACCCCCUCCAUUGCUUUCUAUAUGUCACAUUUUUACUUACAUUAGUAUUAAGAAAUAAUGUAAUUUAACCCUUCUACCUUUUUUUUAAUUUUUUUGGAAUUCAAGUUUUCAAUCAAUGAAUAUAAAUUAAUUUAUUUAACCAAUGAACAUGAAUCAUUUACUUAGCUUUUCUAAGUUGGUCAAAUGUAUAUUUUCAAGGCUAUUCUCACAAGGGUAAAAAAAGAACAAUAUGCUAAUUUAUGCAUUGAUUUUAUGAAAUGACAAGUAUUAUGAACCAAUUAUUUAUAAAAAGGGAUGACAUAUAAAAAGGAACGGAGAGAGUAGUAAAUAUUUAUAAAUAUUAACUUUAGAUUCAGUUAUUAUUAUAUACUAAAUUGAAUUCGUUAUAAAAAUCCACUUUUUCCAUUUCAAUUUAUGUAACAUUUUUUUUAUUUUAAAAUUCAAAUAAAUCUUUCUUUGACCAUAAUUUUUUCAUAUAUUUUGAAUUACAAAUAUUGUGACUAUAACAUUUUUUGCGUAGUUUUUAAACAUGUUAAUUUUGUUUCAAAAAACUUAAAAAAUCUAUAUCCAAAAUAAAAUUAUUGACUCUUGAAAUUUAAAUUAUGAUACAUAAAUUAGAAUAUAAGAGGUACAAAUUUCACAUUUUGAAGCCUGCUACUUGAUAUUGAAUGAGUGGUGAUAAAAUUGGGACAACUCACCAAUCCCAAUCACAAAAGGGUGUAAAAUGGUACUGUUUGUGUCUUUAAUAUGUAUGUCUUUUAGUCAGUAUUCAAGGGCCAGACAAUAAUAUCAAGAAAAGUUGAUGUGCAUGUAUUUUAACAUGUGCAGAGGGAGGUGCUGUAACACCCGAGGAGGUGCGAGAGUCGAGAGAUUAAUGGUAGGAAUACGCGGAAGGGUGAGGUAGGUCAAAAAAGUAUUUAGAAAAAUGAGCUUAUUUUGUAAAUAUUUUUUUAAAAAAAAUACUUUAGGUGAGAAGUCUUUUGUGUUGAUUAUAAAGUUAAAAGACAAUAAUUUGUGUUUGACUGAACUUUUUUAAAUGUUUCUAAGUGUAAUUUUUUCUCAAAAAGUGUUCUUCAAAUUAAGAGGGAUUUUGGGUAGAAACUAUUUUAUACUCCCUCCGUCCCUAUUUAGUUGUCCAUAUUUCCUCUUUUAGUUAUUCCUAUUUAGUUGUCCAUUUUGACAAAUCAAGAAAGGACAACAAAUUUUUUUCUAUUAUACCCUUAUUUAAAUAAAGUUGUCAUAAAUAAAGUAAAUAAACUUAUGAACUUCCCAACAUUGAUUAGUUAUCUUGAGUUAAUUUAUUUUCGAAUUGUAAAUUGUACUAUAAAAGUAAAAUUGUAACUUCACUAUGCUAAUCAUUGUUGCCUUAAUCUGUGUGUCAUUUCUAAAGUGGACAACUAAAUAGGGACGGAGGGAGUAUGUUAUGAAAAACAACUUUUGUUAUUCUUUAGAAGCACUUAUUGUCCCUCCAUAAAGCUUGCCAAACACCUUAAGCAAUUUUUUGAAGAUGAGCAAAAAUUUAAGAAAAAGCACUUUUGACCUUCCAAAAGUUUGGCCAAUAGACUGUUCAAAAUUUGAACCGUGACAUACACCUGACCUACACAUAAAUUGAUGCACUAUGUAUCCUAAUUCUCUUCUAAAAGACACUAGGAAAACUUUUCUCAUUCCUUCUUCAAGAAACAAGCCUGAUGCUGAUUGAUACAAAUUCAAACGAGCAAUACAUGAGUCUAUGUCAUUUUCGUUUGAGAAAAGACCUAUCCAUGCAAAUGUUUGUUAACUGAAAUAAUAUAAAUGAGACAAACUUUUAACAAAUAUCAUAUAUAAGCAUUUUCUCAAAGUUCGAUGAUAUAUUUGAGCCUUUUCCCUUUUUUUUUAGUAACCAAAUACCAGAAAAUAAGUAACAAACUUUUCUUUUUCGUAGGACCUUCAUACCAAACACAACUUUUGUUUUACUUGCUCUCUUGUUGUAUACUAAGGUCUUAUAUUUUCAAGCAAAGCAUAUGGAAGUAGUAACAUAGGGCUAAUAAAGAGGAAAUCUAACUCAGUUCUAACAACUAGGAACACAAUAUGUCAAAGUUCCCAGCUUAUUAUACUAAUCAACAAACUAAAAUGAGAAAGUAGUUGACAAGACUCUAUAGUAACUUGAGCAUUUGCCUCAUGGACUUGAGAAAUGUUCACUUCAAGACUCUAUGAUACACUUGCUUGUUAUAUGGUUUGAGCUCAUGAUUGCCCCAAAAACAGGUGUUGGUGGAGCGGGUCUUGAUGGCAACGCAGAAAUGAAGUCUACCAAAUCAUUCAGAUUCUUAUGUGAAGUACCAUCAAUCUGCAUUGCAGCAACUAUGUUUUGUUUCAUGUCUACUACUCUUUUCUUCACAUCUUUGCCUUCUUCACUUAACAUGAGUUUUCUUAUUGUUUUCUCUAUUACCGUUCUCUCCAUAACCUCCAAUUCGAACCCAACCUUGUAUAUUUGGCUCAGAUACCUUGCGUUCACCGGUUGGUCUGCUAGAAAUGGCCUGCAUAUCAAAGGGACUUCCUCCAAAAUACUUUCAAGUGUAGAAUUCCAACCACAAUGAGUGAAAAAGCCUGCUACCGCGGGAUGUGCAAGCACCUGUUUUUGUGGUGCCCAUUUCACUAUCCGUCCUCUUUCUGCUACCAUUUCCUCAAAACCAUCAGGGAGUGCCUCAGCACAUUGAAAACCAUAGACAGAGCCCGGUCGAAUAACCCACAAGAAGGGUUGAUCACUAUUAGCUAAUCCCCAAGCAGUCUCAAUUAGCUCUUUGUCAUCAAUCCUCAUUAGGCUACCUAAGCUGACAUAGAGAACAGAGUUAGGAGCUUGUCUGUCGAGCCACUCGAUGCAGCUGUUGUCUUCUUCUAGUAUGCUAGUCGAUGAGGCCAUAGGCACCAUUUUGUGAAAAGGUCCUAUUGGAAAGAAGGGCACCUUGUAAUGUUCCUGAAGGCGUAACAACAAUGAAUUCUCCAAGUCUUGCAUCGUGUUCCAAAUAGUCGCAACAGAUGAUCCUAUAUCACUCAUUGAUCUGCUGAAGUCUAGUAUCGGUGCUUGAACUGUAUUAUUAACGACAUUAAUUGGUAUAUCCUUAAACCUCAAGGGAUGAAGCUCUGGUAACGGAUCCAGCAGUUGAGAAUCUGGACUUGAAAGUGAGUAAUCAAUGCAGACUUAGCAAAAGAUACAACAUAAUGUAAGAAAAAGAUUAUAGUCUAUUGACCAUCUAUUUUUAGUAAAAUCGAAUGGAAGGAGUACUUUUCAUUUCCUUUUUUAUUCUAUAAUCAUCGGUGCUUGAAAUGAAUGUAAAUAGGGAACAUGGUUAGUGAGAUUUACAUAGCCAACCCCAACUUGUUUGGGGCUGACGCGUAGUUAUUGCUAUAUUAUUGAAUUUGAAAUGAUUUUUCAGUUAAAUGUUGAAGUAAUUGUUCUCAUACCUUUAAAAGGAAAAUAUUUUUCUGGUUGCUGUAAAAUGGUGAUCAUAGAGUCCAAAUACGCAGCACUGUAAGUGCGCAGGACAAUGCUGGGAAGUCUGAGCUGAGUAGCUACAUCAUCGACGAAGAACAUGAUGCUGUCAUAAAUGAUACAAGCGAGCUGAUCACCUUCCUCUUCCAUCAUCCUAACAAGGUAGUUUCUCAGGGGCGCCUUACAGCUCUCGUUCAUACGAUAUAUACUCUUUAAACCCGGGAAUGACAUGUCCAUUCCCUUUAAUCCGUCAUCCAUAGAAUGGAAGACGAAUUCAGGAUGAUUGGAAUAAUUAGGAGCAUUGUGUUGAGUAUGUGCUACUAUAACAGAAAAGCCUUGUGAAUGAAGGAUACUUCCAAGCUGCAGCAUUGGUGUUAAAUGCCCCUGGAGUAGGAAUGGCACUAGUACUACACUCUGUUUUCUUUCUACUUUCAUCUUUGUUUUCUUGGAAUUUCUCUUCUAUUCAAAAGUUUAGUAGUACGAGGUACUAGUUUUCUUGAAGGAAGUUUAUGUAUAGCUCUCAAAUUUUGGGACUCUUGACCAGCAAGGGCGGAUCUAGCAUUAAAGUUUUGGGUUAAUGUUAAUCAAGUAGCUUUAGCUCAGAUCUCGUAUUUUUACUAAAAAUCUAUCAAUAUUAAUUGUACCUUUUGUUUUUAUUUGUUAUAAAUUGUUUUGACCUGCUACUUGAUACUCCUUGGGAGAUUUUAUUUGUUCACUUUUGAAUUGACAUACCUAUUAAGAAAAUAAUUAUUGAUAUAGUAAGUUUACUAUUUUACUUCUAUUAAUUAUGAAGUGGAUGAAUUAAAGAUUUAACAUUUUCAAGAAGUUCUACUUUUUUCAAAGUGAUUAAUUGAGAAUAUAAUAGAAUUUUUGUUUAUCCUUUCUUGAUUUGUCAAAAUAAAUAAGUAAUUAAAAAUAACUAAUAAAAUAAAAUAAAUAAGUAAUUAGAAACAGAAAAGAAAGUAUUGAAUGAGGGGUAAUGAAUUGGAACAACUCACCAUUCUCAAUCCCAAAAAAAUGAGUAACGAGAUCCACAAGUAAGCCCUCAAUCUUGGAAUUGGUGCUGUUUGUCUUUAUAUAUGUAAAGUCUUCUAGUCCAAUAUAAUUAAGUAUUCACGGUGAGACGCUCAUAUCAAGAAAAAUUGAUGUGCAUGUUUUUAAAAUGUUUUUUUAUUCUAAUAAUUUUGUUGGUUAAUUACUUGAAUUUUUAGUUAUAUGAAGGUUCGAUUUUUCUAUCUUUUAAUUUAUUUAUAUAUAAUAUAUGUUGAACCUUCUUGGUGAAAUUAUGUCUAGGCUACUAUAUGUAUUAGCUGAUAUUAUGAUUAUCUUCUAUAAUUUUUCUCUUCCCUAGAUUGAAUUGUGAAGGAUUUAUACUCGGAGAUUUAUACGAAAUAAUACAUACCUUUUUCUCUAUAAUUGAGUGUGUUAUCACCACCAAUUUCCUUAGCAUUUUCUUACACGAUCACUAUGGAGACUAUGAAGUCUUGUUAAGUCCUUACUAGGACAAUGUUGAGACUUGUAACUUUUAUUCAUUUAAGAGUUACAUAACCCCUUAUCUCAUAAUUUCCACUCCAUUCAUGAAUACCAUAACUCUUUCUCUUUUACCAAUAAAGAUUGUGGUGGAGUGGUAAGUGCCUAACUUUUAAUUAGAGAUUAAGGGUUCGAGUUAAUUAGAGAUUAAGGGUGGAGUGUAUAUGAUUUGUUGGUAUACGAAGAAAAAUUGGUAGAUAUGGAGCACAUUGAUGCCAAUAGGGUUGAAAUUUCACUGCUGGAUAUUGAUCCUACUUUAGUCCCAGGUUCUUUCUUAGAGUAGCCUAAUGGGAUUGAAGUAUUUAACCCUGAAUCAUUCAGGUCUUCUUUAAAUGCGACUAGCCUGACUACUAACUUAGAAGACCGAGAAAUCAUUAAAAGAAAAAAAAAAAAGUGCCGUGAUUUGAACUUUAAACUAACCGAACACCAAGAAAUAAGUAAGAAAACCAUUUAUUUUCCACAAAAAUGAUUUCUAGGAAAAUAUAUUCAUUCAUACCAAACACAACCAUAGCUCCCUCCAUAUUAUAUUUUUAACAUAGGGAUAACAAAGAGUAAAUAUAUCUCAGUUCUAACAACUAGCAAACAAUAUGUCAAAGUUCCCAACUUAUUAAACAAAUCAACAGACUAAAAUAAGAAAGUUUUAUGAUUAUAGCAGGCUGCUAUAUUGCUUCAGCAUUUACCCCACGGACUUCAGAAAAAUUCACUAAUCACCAAUUUUGAUUUUUAUUCCAACAGUUACUCACUUAUAAUGUCCAUAUAAAUAUCGAAUGUCAAAUGAGUUGAAAACAAAAUCAAUAAAUACUCUUGGGUCAAGUUGGGACCCGGGAUUGGGAUCGAGAUUUGAGAUUUGGGUCAGGAGUCGGGGUUGAGGUCUCUGGAUGGAGUCAUGGAUCUGGGUUGAGGUUAGGUCCAGAGUUAACUUCGGGUUGCAGUUCGUGGCAUGGGGUCAGUUGUCAGGUCCUAGGUUAAGGUUAGGUCAGGGUUUGGUCGAGGAUCAAGUUUUGAGUCGGUGUUGAGGUCAGGGUUUUGGUUUAGGUCAGUGUUGGGGUGAGGUCGGGUCGAGUCAAGUCCGGGUCUAUAUAUGUUAUAGGGUGGUUCCAGGUCUAGGUGUACAAAGAUACUCGUGGGACAAUAAUAUUCUUUACUAAUCAAACACCAGAAAAUAAGUAAGCAAAUCAUUUAUUUUCCACGAAAAUAUUGUCCUACCAACUAGGAAACAAUAUGUCAAAGUUCCCAACUUAUAAAAUUAAUCAACAAACUAAAUUAAACUGCUUCAGCAUUAAGUAAAAGUUCACUUCUUAUCUUAUUCUUCGUUUUGUGAUUAAGGACUUGUUGUCUUGCCAAGCUAACAGGCCACAAAUAUAUGGUUUGAGCUCAAAAAUUACUUCCAGACUCUAUGAUACACUUGCUUGUUAUAUGGUUUGAGCUCAUGAUUGCCCCAAAAACAGGUGUUGGUGGAGCGGGUCUUGAUGGCAACGCAGAAAUGAAGUCUACCAAAUCAUUCAGAUUCUUAUGUGAAGUACCAUCAAUCUGCAUAGCAGCAACUAUGUUUUGUUUCAUGUCUACUACUCUUUUCUUCACAUCUUUGCCUUCUUCACUUAACAUGAGUUUUCUUACUGUUUUCUCUAUGACCGUUCUCUCGAUAACCUCCAAUUCGAACCCAACCUUGUAUAUUUGGCUCAGAUACCUAGCUGUCACCGGCUGGUCUGCUACAAAUGGCCUGCAUAUCAAAGGGACUUCCUCCAAAAUACUUUCAAGCGUAGAAUUCCAACCACAAUGAGUGAAAAAGCCUGCUACCGCGGGAUGUGCAAGCACCUGUUUUUGUGGUGCCCAUUUCACUAUUCGUCCUCUUUCUCCUACCAUUUUCUCAAAACCAUCAGGCAGUACCUCAGGACAUUGAAAGCCAGAGACAGAGCCAGGUCGAAUAACCCACAAGAAGGGUUGAUCACUAUUAGCUAAUCCCCAAGCAGUCUCAAUUAGCUCUUUGUCAUCAAUCCUCACUAGGCUACCCAAGCUGACAUAGAGAACAGAAUUAGGGGCUUGUCUAUCGAGCCACUCGAUGCAGCUAUUGUCUUCUUCUAGUAUGCUAGUCGAUGAGGCCAAAGGUGCCAUUUUGUGUAAAGGGCCUAUUGGAAAAAAGGGCACCUUGUAAUGCUCUUGAAGGCGUAAUAACAUUGAACUCUCCAAGUCUUGCAUCGUGUUCCAAAUAGUCGCGACAGAUGAUCCUAUAUCACUCAUUGCUCUAAAGAAGUCUAGUAUGUGUUCUGCAACUGUAUUAUUGAAAGCAGGAAUUGGUACAUCCUUAAACCUCAAGGGAUGAAGCUCCGGUAACGGAUCCAACAACUGAGAAUCUGGAAUUAUAGUGAGUAAUCAAUGCAAACUUAAGCGAAAGAUACAACAUAAUGGAAGAAAAAAAUUAGAAGCUAUACCAGCUAGUGAAGAAUAUAUCUUAAUCAUGUUAAUACGUGUACUUAAGGUCCUAUGCUUUCUAGGAGCCUUUUGGCCCUGUUACUUCUAGUACUCAUUCCGUUUCAUUUUACUUGUCAUUCUUUUUGCACGCUCUAUAAGAAAACAUUAAUUAAAAGCGUAAUUUGACUAAAUUAUCCUUGUUUAGUAUUUGAUCUCACUUUAAUACUACUCUCUUUUCCACCACAUUAAUUUCUUUCCACAUUUAUUGGAGUUAAUACCUCAGAUGGUCACUCAACUAUGCACUAUUUUCUUAGAAAGUCACUCAACUUGGUUUUUAACUCAAAAGUCACUCAACUAUGAGUUUUUUUCUCAGAAAGUCACUCAACUUUGGUUUUUAUUUCAAAAGUCACUCAACUAUGAGUGUUUCACUUGCAAAGUCACUCAACUAUGAAUGUUUUACUUACAAAGUCACCCAAUCUAUUUAAUUAAUAUUUUUCAUUAAACUUACAAACAUGAAAAUUUUAUUUACUUACUAAAAUUUUAAAAAAUAAAAAGAUAUUCAUUUAAAUCAUUUAAUAACUCGAUCCGCUACAAAUAUAAUAUAUUACCUUUUAUUUUACCCCUUUUCUCCAAUUGUGUGUGAAUACAGCGAUCUCCAUGCAUUAUUCAUAAAAUAUAGAAAUUACAAAAUUACUUUUUUAGUAAAUUCAAAUUUUUAGUAACAAUGAUACAUAAUGAAGGAACAAAAAGAAGUGAUUAAAAAAAACUGACUUGAAUUUGUUAAUUAUGUUUCUCCUACCGUUAAGUAAAUUAAGAUUUGGUCUUUAUAUGUUUUUUUUUUGUAAAAUGCUCUUUACAUGUUGUUGAUUUUAGAGUGCUAUAGUUAAAUUAAUUAAUUGGUUUAAAUGAAUAUCCUUUUAUUUUUUUUAAAAAAUGGUUAGAAAUAAAAAAUUCAUGUUAGUAAAUUCAGUUGAAAAAAAUAAUGAAAUCAUUAAAAUAAUAUAUUUCUAACGGAUCGGGUUAUUAAAUGGUUUAAAUAGUUAGAAAUANNNNNNNNNNNNNNNNNNNNNNNNNNNNNNNNNNNNNNNNNNNNNNNNNNNNNNNNNNNNNNNNNNNNNNNNNNNNNNNNNNNNNNNNNNNNNNNNNNNNNNNNNNNNNNNNNNNNNNNNNNNNNNNNNNNNNNNNNNNNNNNNNNNNNNNNNNNNNNNNNNNNNNNNNNNNNNNNNNNNNNNNNNNNNNNNNNNNNNNNNNNNNNNNNNNNNNNNNNNNNNNNNNNNNNNNNNNNNNNNNNNNNNNNNNNNNNNNNNNNNNNNNNNNNNNNNNNNNNNNNNNNNNNNNNNNNNNNNNNCUAUGAAUGUUUUACUUACAAAGUCACCCAAUCUAUUUAAUUAAUUUUUUUCAUUAAACUUACAAACAUGAAAAUUUUAUUUCUUACUAAAAUUUUAAAAAAUAAAAAGAUAUUCAUUUAAAUCAUUUAAUAACUCGAUCCGCUACAAAUAUAAUAUAUUACCUUUUAUUUUACCCCUUUUCUCCAAUUGUGUGUGAAUACAGCGAUCUCCAUGCAUUAUUCAUAAAAUAUAGAAAUUACAAAAUUACUUUUUUAGUAAAUUCAAAUUUUUAGUAACAAUGAUACAUAAUGAAGGAACAAAAAGAAGUGAUUAAAAAAAACUGACUUGAAUUUGUUAAUUAUGUUUCUCCUACCGUUAAGUAAAUUAAGAUUUGGUCUUUAUAUGUUUUUUUUUUGUAAAAUGCUCUUUACAUGUUGUUGAUUUUAGAGUGCUAUAGUUAAAUUAAUUAAUUGGUUUAAAUGAAUAUCCUUUUAUUUUUUUUAAAAAAUGGUUAGAAAUAAAAAAUUCAUGUUAGUAAAUUCAGUUGAAAAAAAUAAUGAAAUCAUUAAAAUAAUAUAUUUCUAACGGAUCGGGUUAUUAAAUGGUUUAAAUAGUUAGAAAUAAAAAUUUCAUGUUGGUAAGUUUUAAUGAAAAAAAUCAAUUAAAUAGAUUGAAUGACUUUGUAAGUGAAACACUCAUAGUUAAGUGAUUUUUGAGUUAAAAAUCAAAGUUGAGUGACUUUCUGAGAAAAGAACUCAUAGUUGAGUGACUUUUUGAGAAAAAAACUCAUAGUUGAGUGACUUUGAAAUUAAAAACCAAAGUUGACUGACUUUUUGAGAAAAUAAUGCAUAGUUGAAUGACCAUAUGAGAUAUUAACUCCAUUUAUUGAGUAAGGGUAAAAGUGAAAACUAGUAGUUAAUUAUAUCUUGGUUUUCUAUAAUGACAACUAUUUUUGACCAUUUAUUUUUAGUAAGGACGGCUAGUAAAAUUGACUGGAAAGUGUACCUUACAUUGCUAUUUUUAUUUUCUAUAAUGUUGGCUUGAGAUGAAUGUAAAUAUGGAACAUGGCCUGUGAGGAUUCAUAUAGCCGACCUCAACUUUUUUGUGACUGAAGAAUAGUUAUUGUUAUCGAAAUGAUUUUUCACUAAAAUCUUGAAGCAGAGGAUGUGUUUGUUCUCAUACCUUCAAAAGGAAAAUAUUUUUCUGGUUGCUGAAAAAUGGUGACCAUAGAGUUCAUACAUGCAGCACUGAAAGUGUGCAGGACAAUGCUGGGAAUCCUCAGCUGAGUGGCUACAUCAUCGACAAAAAACAUGUUGUUGUCAUAAAUAAUACAGGUGAGCUGAUCACCUUGCACAUCCUGUUCCUGUUCCUGUUCCUGUUCCUGUUCCAUCAUCCUAACGAGGUAAUUUCUCAAGGGCGCCUUACAGCUCUCGUUCAUACGAUAUAUACUCUUUACACUCGGCAAUGACAUGUCAAUUCCCUUUAAUCCGUCAUCCAUAGAAUGGAAGAUGAAUUCAGGAUGAUUGGAAUAAUUAGGAGUAUUGUGUUGAGUAUGUGCAACUAUAACAGAAAAGCCUUGUGAACGAAGGAUACUUCCAAGCUGCAGCAUUGGUGUUAAAUGCCCCUGGAGUAGGAAUGGCACUAGUACUACACUCUGUUUCCUUUCUACUUUCAUCUUUGCUUUCUUGGAAUUUCUUUUCAAUUCAAGAGUUUAGUAGUAGUAGUAGUAUAACUCUCAAACUUAAAAAGUAUUUGGGUUAACGUGAACCAAUAGCUUUUUCUCUCAUUAUGUAUUUGUAGUGUCCUAAGAAAUUUUCCUAAAAAUCUAUGCGUGAAUUUAUGAUCAAAAUAAAAUUUAUUGACUUUCGAAAUUCAAAUUUUGAAUCCGUCUUUGCCUGGUACUUGGUAUUGAAUGAGUGGUGAUAAAAUUGAAACUACUCACCAUUUCCAAUCACAAAAAGGGAGUAACAAGAGCCUCAUACUGUUUGUCUCUGAUAUGCAUGUCUUUUAGUCCAAUAAUUCAGUAUUCAUGGACCAGACAAUAACAUCCAGAAAAGCUGAUGCGCAAUGUUUUCAACAUGUUUUGUUUUUUUAAUCAUAGUAAUUCAGUUAGUUGAUUAUUUGAAUUUUUACCUCGUUGGUGAGGGUUCAAUUUCUCACCUUGUAAUUUCUUUUUAUUUAUUAUAGGGUAAGGGGUCAAAAUUACCCCUCAACUUUGUUUUAUUGGUUGACUUUACCCUUACCAUUAAAAGCAAGUUAUUUUUACCCCUGGCGUCAAUAAACUUAACAAAUAUAUCCCUCCUUGGACGGAAACCCCCAAAUCAAUUGAAAUUACCCGAUUUUAAUUGAAAUUAUUAUAUUCCUUUUUUAACCCGAACCAGAACCCGCCCAGAAUUUUAAGGGUUGUGCUCAAGAUAAUUUGAAUUGGGUUCAAUCUCAACCCAUUCAAGCCUAACCCAUUUUAAGAGAAUCUCAAUUGAGCCCAAUUCAAUCUCCAAUUUCAACCCGUUUUAAAACUUUUUACUAAGAUAUGUUACUAUAUUAAAGGUAUGAAUUAUUAUCUAUUUAACAUAUUUUAGGAUUUAUCUAUUCAUUUGUAACUUUUUUAAAAAAAAUCUUGAGCUGAAAUUCGAAUUGUGAUUAUAAAAGUUAAAUAUCACUAUGUUAAAAUUACUAAGAUUAAUCGGGUCAAAUUGGACGGGUCAAGACCCAACCCGUUUUUUAGCCCAUUUAAACCCAACCCAUUUGAGCCCAAAGUAAAUUUGGGCGGGUCAAGACCCAACCCAAUUUCUAUUUCAACCCAUUUUAAUAUCUUCAAUUUCAAUCCAACCCGCCCAUUUGACACCCCUACUUAUAAGCAUAAGCUAUGCAUAGCCAAAACGGCCAUACUAUAUUAAUUAUUCAAUUUUUUUUUAAAAAUCAGAAUAUUAGUUAGUGCUAAUAAAUAAAGCCAUCAGCCAAGAAAUUAAUUGACUAGAAAUUAAGUUGAAACAAUCAAGUUUAAAAUUUGAAAAAUUGUUGGAAUGCAAAGAAUUGUUGAGAUUGUAAUAGUCUGCUAAUAUUUUUACUUCAAUUGUUGCUUGCAAGACCAUAAAGGUAACGAUUGCAUGCAAAAAUAUGGAAAAAAAGAGGAGAAAAAGAUGAAGACGAUCACUCAGAAUGAUAAGCGCUCAAGGUGCUUGACAAAAAGACCAAAGAAAAAAAAAAAACACCAAAAAGAGCACUUGUGCUCCUAAUUGGAUAUGGAAACAGAGAGAAAAAAUAUCUAACAAAUGGAUAAAGCCAUGGAGAAGAUGGUGUAGUGGGUUAAAAGAUUGAUUCCAAGAUUGCCAAAUUGAUUGCAGGACAACCAUAGCUCUGGAUACUCGAGCUCAAGCACCCUCCCCUACCGCUUUUCAGGUACAAAAGUCCUCCCUUAUGGCUGCCUUCUAGACUUAAAAUUUUUAAUCACAUUUGCAGUUACUUGUUAAUGUAUUAAAGAAUAGACACAUUAUUUAACCGUGAUAAGAGCUUAUGCCUUUUGGUGUUUUGAUGAUCUCCUCACAAGUGCAGGGACCUGGUCCUCUGCAGAGUAUGAAUACUCGUCCAGCUGUUAAAGUGCGGUACAGCUGUAAAAGUUGUCUGCGUCAGAAAGUUGAUAAAGCUGCAGAGUACUUCACCAAUCAGAAGCNNNNNNNNNNNNNNNNNNNNNNNNNNNNNNNNNNNNNNNNNNNNNNNNNNNNNNNNNNNNNNNNNNNNNNNNNNNNNNNNNNNNNNNNNNNNNNNNNNNNNNNNNNNNNNNNNNNNNNNNNNNNNNNNNNNNNNNNNNNNNNNNNNNNNNNNNNNNNNNNNNNNNNNNNNNNNNGUUGCUGCUUAGUCAAAUUCUAAGUCAUCUAGGAGCUAGUUGAUUUAGUGGGCGGUGUGGUAUCCGCUUAGCAAAGUCUAAGUUAUCUAAGGGUGAUAGCUUAGUGGGCAGUGUUGUAUCUGCUCUGGCUCAUCUAAGUAAUAGGAGGUAUUGCUUAGAGUUGGGAUUAGUAGGCUAAUCUCGGUUUGUAAACUUGCUUUUACUUUUGCUUGGAGAAGAUUAGUGAAAGAAGUUUGAAAAGUCCUGGCAGGCCAGGUCGUGGUUUUACUCCCUUGAGCAAGGAGGUUUCCACGUAAAGUUGUUGUGCAAUCUUUACUUUCAGCACUUUGUUUAUUUUCUGUUAUUGUAACUGUGCUGAGGACCUGAUCCCAUAGAAAACGUGGACGCAUACAUUCCAACAAGUGGUAUCAGAGCGGUACUUUUCGUUUUGGUUAACACCAAGAAAAGAAAAAAUCCAAAAGGAAUGGCUGCUCCACCCAAUAUGGAAGAAGGUCAGUCUUCUACUAGGCCACCGCGUUUUAAUGGUCAAUAUUAUGGCUGGUGGAAGAAUCGAAUGCAUGACUACACCAAGCACAACCAUUGUUUUACUAGCUCCCUCGUUGUAUACUACAUAUUAUAUUUUUAACAUAGGGAUGACAAAGAAUAAAUAUAUCUCAGUUCUAACAACUAGCAAACAAUAUGUCAAAGUUCCCAACUUAUUAAACAAAUCAACAGACUAAAAUAAGAAAGUUUUGUGAUUGUAACAGGCUGCUAUAUUGCUUCAGCAUUUUCCCCACGGACUUCAGAAAAAAUCACUAAUUAUCUUAGUCUUCCUUUUGUGAUUAAGGACUUUUUGUCUUGCCAGGCUAACAGGCAACAAAAAGUAUGUAAUUCUUCUAACUUCAGGACUCUAUGAUACACUUGCUUGCUAUAUUUGAUCCAUCAACAGGCUAUGGCAGAACGAACUGUGAUGGCAAGGCAGAAAUGAAGUCUACCAAAUCAUUUAGAUUCUUAUGUGAAGUACCAUCAAUCUGCAUACCAGCAACUAUGUUUUGUUUCAUGUCUACUACUCGUUUCUUCAGAUCUUUGCCUUCUUCACUUAACAUUAGUUUUCUUACUGUUUUCUCAAUGACCGUUCUCUCGAUAACCUCCAAUUCAAACCCAACCUUGUAUAUUUGGCUCAGAUACCUAGCUGUCAGCGGCUGGUCUGCUACAAAUGGCCUGCAUAUCAAAGGGACUUCCUCCAAAAUACUUUCAAGUGUAGAAUUCCAACCACAAUGAGUGAAAAGCCUGCUACCGUGGGAUGUGCAAGCACCUGUUUUUGUGGUGCCCAUUUCACUAUUCGUCCUCUUUCUCCUACUAUUUUCUCAAAAUCAUCAGGCAGUGCCUCAGCACAUUGAAAGCCAGAGACAGAUCCCGGUCGAAUAACCCACAAGAAUGGUUGAUCACUAUUAGCUAAUCCCCAAGCCGUCUCAAUUAACUCUUUGUCAUCAAUUCUCAUUUGGCUACCUAAGCUGACAUAGAGAACAGAGUUAGGAGCUUGUCUGUCGAGCCACUUGAUGCAGCUGUUAUCUUCUUGUAGUAUGCUAGUCGAUGAGGCCAUAGGCACCAUUUUGUGAAAAGGGCCUAUUGCAUAGAAGGGCACCUUGUAAUGUUCUUGAAGGCGUAACAAUAUGGAAUUCUCCAUGUCUUGCAUCGUGUUCCAAAUAGUCGCAACAGAUGAUCCUAUAUUGCUGAUUGCUCUAAAGAAGUCUAGUACCGGUUCUGCAACUGUAUUAUUAACAACAGGGAUUGGUACAUCCUUAAACCUCAAGGGAUGAAGCUCUGGUAACGGAUCCAACAACUGAGAAUCUGGAAUUGUAGUGAGUAAUUAAUGCAAGCUUAAGUGAAAGAUACAACAUAACGGAAGAAAAAGAUUAUAGGCUGAAUUAUCCUUGCAGUACUCGCUUUGUUCCAUUUUACUUGUCAUUUUUUUUUGCACGCCCCAUAAGAAAACAAUAACUAAAAGUGUAAUUUGAUCAAAUUAUCCUUAUUUAUUAUUUGAUCUCAAUUUAAUACUACUCUCUUUUCCACCACAUUAAUAUCUUUCCACAUUUAUUGUGUAAAGAUAAAAGUGAAAACUAAUACUUAGUUAAUUAUAUCUUGGUUUUCUAAAAUGGCAAUUAUCUUGGACCAUCUAUUUUUUGCAAGGACGGCAAGUAAAAUCAACUGGAAAGGGUACCUUUCAUUUCUAUUUUUAUUUUCUAUAAUGUUGGCUUGUGAUGAAUGUAAAUAGGGACCAUGGUCAGUGAAGAUUCACAUAGCCGACCUCAACUUGUUUGUGACUGAAGCAUACUUAUUGUUAUCGAAAUGAUUUUUCAUUAAAAUCUUGAAGCAGAGGAUGUGUUUGUUCUCAUACCUUCAAAAGGAAAAUAUUUUUCUGGUUGCUGAAAAAUGGUGAUCAUAGAGUGCAAAUAUGUAGCACUGGAAGUGUGCAGGACAAUGCUGGGAAGCCUUAACUGAGUGGCUACAUCAUCUACGAAAAUCAUGACAUUAUCAUAAAUGAUACAAGCGAGCUGAUCACCUUCCUCUUUCAUCAUCUUAACAAGGUAGUUUCUGAGGGGCACCUUGCAGUUCUCAUUCAAAUCAUGUAUGUUCUCUAAACUCGGUAAUGAUAUUUCAAUUCCCUUUAAUCCGUCAUCCAUAGAAUGGAAGCCGAAUUCAGGAUGAUUGGAAUAUUUAGGAGUAUUGUAUUCAGGAUGUGCAAUUAUAACAGAAAAGCCUUGUGAGUGAAGGAUACUUCCAAGCUGCAGCAUUGGUGUUAAAUGCCCCUGGAAUGGGUAUGGUACUAGUACUACACUCUGUUUUCUUUCAAUUUUCAUCUUUUUUUUCUUGAGUUUCUCUUCUAUUCAAGAGUUUAGUAAUAGUGUUCUUGAAGGAAGUUUAUAUAUACAAGUUUAUAGUUAAUUUUGUACUAGUUAAUUUAAUUUGUUUUAACUUUGUAUUAUUAAGGUCAAAACUUCAUUUACAAAUUUUGUAUUGGUUAGUUUAAUUUGUUUUACCUUUGUAUUGUUUAGGUCAAAACUUCAUUUACAAUUUUUGUACUAGUUAAUUUAAUUUGUUUGACCUUUGUAUUAAGGUCAAAACUCCCUUUACAAAUUUUGUGUACUAGUUAAUUUAAUUUGUUUUACCAUUUAUUAUUAAUGUCAAAACUUCAUUUUAUCUCAUAAAGCUACUCAACUUUGAAUUUUAUUCCAAAAGUCACUCAACUAUGAGUGUUUUACUUACAAAGUCACCCAAUUUAAAUUUUUAUUCCAACAGUUACGCACUUAUGAAGUCACUCAUAGUCGAAUGUCCAUAUAAAUAUUGAAUAUCAAAUGAGUUGAAAACAAAAUCAAUAAAUACUCUUGGGUGAAGUUGGGACCCGGGAUUGGGGUCAGGAGUUGUCAGGUCCUCGUCGGGGUUGAGGUCUCUGGAUGGAGUCAUUGAUCUGGGUUGAGGUUUGGUCCAGAGUUAACUUUGGGUUGCAGUUCGUGGCAUGGGGUCAGUUGUCAGGUCCUAGGUUAAGGUUAGGUCGGGUUCUGGUCGAGGAUCAAGUUUUGAGCCGGUGUCGAGGUCAGGGUUUUGUUUUAGGUCAGUGUUGGGGUGAGGUCGGGUCGAGUCAAGUCCGUGUCUAUGUUAUAGGGUGGUUCCAGGUCUAGGUGUACAAAGAUACUCGUGGGACAAUAAUAUUUUUUACUAAUCAAACAUCAGAAAAUAAGUAAAAAAAUCAUUUAUUUUCCACGAAAAUAUUGUCCUACCAACUAGGAAGCAAUAUGUCAAAGUUCCCAACUUAUAAAACCAAUCAACAAACUAAAGUAAACUGCUUCAGCAUUUGCACCAUGGACUUAUGAAAAGUUCACUUCUUAUCUUAUUCUUCCUUUUGUGAUUAAGGACUUGUUGUCUUGCCAAGCUAACAGGCCACAAAUAUAUGGUUUGAGCUCAAAAAUAACUUCAAGACUCUAUGAUACACUUGCUUGCUAUAUGGUUUGAGCUCAUGAUUGCCCCAACAACAGGCAAUGGCGGAGCGAGCCGUGAUGGCAAGGCAGAAAUGAAGUCUACCAAAUCAUUCAGAUUCUUAUGUGAAGUGCCUUCAAUCUGCAUAGCAGCAACUAUGUUUUGUUUCAUGUCUACUACUCUUUUCUUCACAUCUUUGCCUUCUUCACUUAGCAUAAGUUUUCUUAUUGUUUUCUCUAUGACCGUUCUCUCGAUAGCCUCCAAUUCGAACCCAACCUUGUAUAUUUGGCUCAGAUACCUUGCGUUCACUGGUUGGUCUCCUAAAAAUGGCCUGCAUAUCAUAGGGACUUCUUCACAAAUACUUUCAACCGUAGAAUUCCAACCGCAAUGUGUGAAAAAGCCUGUUACCCCGGGAUGUGCAAGCACCUGUUUUUGUGGUGCCCAUUUCACUAUUCGUCCUCUUUCUCCUACCAUUUUCUCAAAACCAUCAGGCAGUGCCUCAGCACAUUGAAAGCCAGAGACAGAGCCAGGUCGAAUAACCCACAAGAACGGCUGAUCACUAUUAGCUAAUCCCCAAGCUGUCUCAAUUAGCUCUUUGUCAUCAAUCCUCACUAGGCUACCCAAGCUGACAUAGAGAACAGAGUUUGGGGCAUGUCUAUUGAGCCACUCGAUGCAGCUAUUGUCUUCUUCUAGUAUGCUAGUCGAUGAGGCCAAAGGUGCCAUUUUGUGUAAAGGGCCUAUUGGAAAGAAGGGCACCUUGUAAUGUUC